rnacentral:rRNA from 1 species
AUUGAACGCUGGCGGCAGGCCUAACACAUGCAAGUCGAGCGGAUGAAGGGAGCUUGCUCCUGGUUUCAGCGGCGGACGGGUGAGUGAUGCCUAUGAAUCUGCCUGGUAGUGGGGGAUAACGUCCGGAAACGGGCGCUAAUACCGCAUACGUCCUGAGGGAGAAAGUGGGGGAUCUUCGGACCUCACGCUCUCAGAUGAGCCUAGGUCGGAUUAGCUAGUUGGUGGGGUAAAGGCCUACCAAGGCGACGAUCCGUAACUGGUCUGAGAGGAUGAUCAGUCACACUGGAACUGAGACACGGUCAAGACUCCUACGGGAGGCAGCAGUGGGGAAUAUUGGGCAAUGGGCGAAAGCCUGACCCAGCCAUGCCGCGUGUGUGAAGAAGGCCUUCGGAUCGUAAAGCACUUUAAGUUGGGAGGAAGGGCAGUAGCUUAAUACCUUGCUGUUUUGACGUUACCAACAGAAUAAGCACCGGCUAACUACGUG